CAGCAGCCGCGGUAAUACGUAGGGUGCGAGCGUUAAUCGGAAUUACUGGGCGUAAAGCGUGCGCAGGCGGUUCGUUAAGACAGAUGUGAAAUCCCCGGGCUUAACCUGGGAACUGCAUUUGUGACUGGCGAGCUAGAGUAUGGCAGAGGGGGGUAGAAUUCCACGUGUAGCAGUGAAAUGCGUAGAGAUGUGGAGGAAUACCGAUGGCGAAGGCAGCCCCCUGGGAUAACACUGACGCUCAUGCACGAAAGCGUGGGGAGCAAACAGGAUUAGAUACCCGUGUAGUCCCUGUCUCUUAUAC
rnacentral:rRNA from 1 species